UGUGACAUUACAAUAUCUGAUUUUCACUGUCAGCAUGUGUGUGAGGAGGUGAAGGGUGUAUAAAGAAGGUACAGCUUGACAAUGUGCAUGCAGAAUGAAGAUGCUUAAGGAUCUGAUGCGGAUUAUCGGUAUUCUAUGCUGGUGGUGCUUAAGCAUCUCAAUAAUGUGUAAGUAAGCAGCAACGGCAUUAGAAAAGGCCACUAUCAGCUGAAGGAUAAGCACCAUUUGUCCAACUUCCAAGGUCCUUACGUGAGCUACAUAAUAAUGAUUCCUAGUCUAUCAUGUCAGCGUUACAGUGCUUUGCACUGAAUGAUCUGUGAAGAUGCUGCCAGACCUGCGAGGUUUUUCCAGUUUUCCAAUGUUCUGAGUAUGAGUUAGAUAUCCACCUUGAUCAAUGGUGAAAUUUGAAUUCAAUAAAACUCCAGAAUUAAAAAGCUGGCCUCACUGCUACCAUGUAACCACUGUUGAUCGUCACUGAUGUCCUUUAGAGAAGAAAAUCUGCCAUCCUUAUCCAGUCUGGCUUCCAUAUGACUUUAGACCCAUAGCAG